rnacentral:rRNA from 1 species
UACGUAGGGUGCAAGCGUUGUCCGGAAUUAUUGGGCGUAAAGAGCUCGUAGGCGGUCUGUCACGUCGGCUGUGAAAACCCGAGGCUCAACCUCGGGCCUGCAGUCGAUACGGGCAAACUAGAGUACUGCAGGGGAGACUGGAAUUCCUGGUGUAGCGGUGAAAGUGCGCAGAUAUCAGGAGGAACACCGGUGGCGAAGGCGGGUCUCUGGGCAGUAACUGACGCUGAGGAGCGAAAGCGUGGGGAGCGAACAGG